GACAGAGGGUGCAAACGUUGUUCGGAAUUACUGGGCGUAAAGCGCGCGUAGGCGGGUUGGUAAGUCCGCUGUGAAAGCCCGGAGCUCAACCUCCGGAGGGUCGGUGGAUAACUGGCCAGUCUUGAAGGUGCUAGGGGGAGAUGGAAUUACCGGUGUAGCGGUGAAAUGCGUAGAGAUCGGUAGGAACACCAGUGGCGAAGGCGGGUCUCUGGGCCGAUACUGACGCUGAGGAGCGAAAGCGUGGGGAGCGAACAGG
rnacentral:rRNA from 1 species